rnacentral:rRNA from 1 species
UUUUAAAUUUAGAGUUUGAUCCUGGCUCAGGACGAACGCUGGCGGCGUGCUUAACACAUGCAAGUCGAGCGAUGAAGCUUCCUUCGGGAGGUGGAUUAGCGGCGGACGGGUGAGUAACACGUGGGUAACCUGCCUCAAAGUGGGGGAUAGCCUUCCGAAAGGAAGAUUAAUACCGCAUAAUAUGAGAGAAUCGCAUGAUUUUCUUAUCAAAGAUUUAUUGCUUUGAGAUGGACCCGCGGCGCAUUAGCUAGUUGGUAAGGUAACGGCUUACCAAGGCAACGAUGCGUAGCCGACCUGA